rfam:Spinacia oleracea cultivar SynViroflay scaffold5891.con0001.1, whole genome shotgun sequence.
GUGUUCGUAGAAAGGAGAGAUGGUUGGCAUCUCCCCUGACAGGGACGGGAAUGGCCUUCGGGCUUUCCUUGUUACCACACAUCCGGUUAAGGCUACCCACUUUCUAGUGGAUCUUAUAACCCAAUUUUUUG